rnacentral:rRNA from 1 species
AUACGGAGGGUGCGAGCGUUAAUCGGAAUUACUGGGCGUAAAGCGCGCGGAGGCGGAUAAUUAAGUCAGAUGUGAAAUCCCCGGGCUCAACCUGGGAACUGCAUUUGAUACUGAUUAACUAGAGUAUGGUAGAGGUGAGUGGAAUUUCCGGUGUAGCGGUGAAAUGCGUAGAGAUCGGAAGGAACACCAGUGGCGAAGGCGACUCACUGGGCCAUUACUGACGCUGAGGUGCGAAAGCGUGGGUAGCAAACAGGAUUAGAAACCCUAGUAGUCC